rnacentral:misc_RNA from 1 species
GAUGAAGAACGUAGCGAAGUGCGAUAAGUAAUGUGAAUUGCAGAAUUCCGUGAAUCAUCGAAUUUUUGAACGCAAAUUGCAUUCUCUGGUAUUCCGGAGAGUAUGCCUGUUUGAGGGUCAGUCAAAUAAAAAUCGAUGUCGUUGUCACCAUAUAACGCGUCGGAAUUGAGUCGUCUUACCUUCGGUUAAGUGACUUAAAAUUUUUACGCGAAUUCGAAAUGUAUUUAAUGUUUAUGUACGUUUGCGAUAUUCCAAUUUAUUAGGUGCGAUCAUUCCUAUGAUUCGCGUCUAUAAUUUUUCAUUUCUUGACCUCAAAUCAGGUAAGAGUACCCGCUGAACUUAAGCAUAUCAAUAAGCGGAGGA